rnacentral:misc_RNA from 1 species
UCUCCGUAGGUGAACCUGCGGAGGGAUCAUUACAGAGUUCUCGCCCUCGCGGGUAGAUGUCCCACCCGCUGUUAUCGUUACUGUGUUGCUUUGGCGGGCCGCCGGGCCCCGCUCGGCCGCCGGCUCCGGCUGGCGCGCGCCCGCCAGAGGCCCAGCAAACUCUGAAUGUUAGUGUCGUCUGAGUACUAUAUAAUAGUUAAAACUUUCAACAACGGAUCUCUUGGUUCUG